UACGGGGGGGGCAAGAGUUGUUCGGAAUUACUGGGCGUAAAGGGCUCGUAGGCGGCCAACUAAGUCAGACGUGAAAUCCCCAGGCUCAACCUGGGAACUGCGUCUGAUACUGGAUGGCUUGAAUCCGGGAGAGGGAUGCAGAAUUCCAGGUGUAGCGGUGAAAUGCGUAGAUAUCUGGAGGAAUACCGGUGGCGAAGGCGGCAUCCUGGACCGGCAUUGACGCUGAGGAGCGAAAGCUAGGGGAGCAAACGGG
rnacentral:rRNA from 1 species